rnacentral:rRNA from 1 species
CUUGGUCAUUUAGAGGAAGUAAAAGUCGUAACAAGGUUUCCGUAGGUGAACCUGCGGAAGGAUCAUUAAUGAAAAAAGAUUCAUCGCCCCGUUUUUGUUCGUCAAUCGGGUUCUAAUCCCACAACCGUGUCUACCUACCUUUGUUGCUUUGGCAGGCCGCCUUCGGGCGUUGGCUUCGGCUGACCGUGCCUGCCAGAGGACCCCAACUCUGUGUUUAGUGAUGUCUGAGUACUAUAUAAUAUUUUAAAACUUUCAACAACGGAUCUCUUGGUUCUGGCAUCGAUGAAGAACGCAGCGAAAUGCGAUAAGCAAUGUGAAUUGCAGAAUUCAGUGAAUCAUCGAAUCUUUGAACGCACAUUGCGCCCCUUGGUAUUCCGAGGGGCAUGCCUGUUCGAGCGUCAUUAUAACCACUCAAGCCUGGCUUGGUAUUGGGGCUUUCGCGUGUUCGCGGCCCUUAAAAUCAGUGGCGGUGCCGUCUGGCUCUAAGCGUAGUAAUUCUCUCGCUAUAGAGUUCCGGCGGUUGCUUGCCAUAACCCCCCACUUUUAAGGUUGACCUCGGAUCAGGUAGGGAUACCCGCUGAACUUAAGCAUAUCAAUAAGCGGAGGA